UGUUGCGUAUAGGUGCUGUUUUCUAAGCGUGGUCCGAGCCUAAUUCCCUUCGAAAGGGGAUCUAGUCCACAGAGGGUGCAAGUCCCGUGCGGAAUCGGAUUGCGUUUGGUUUCUCAGUACCUUGGAGUCGGGUUGCUUGAAAGUGCAGCCUAAAGUGGGUGAUAAACUUCAUCUAAGACUAAAUAUUAGCACGAAUUCGAUAGCCAACAAGUACCGUGAGGGAAAGUUGCAAAGAACUUUGAAGAGAGAGUUCAAUAGAACGUGAAAUCACUGGCAUGGAAGCGGAAGGAGCUGAUGUAGCCUUGAGACCAAGUUGUUUUUAGAGUGCUUGAUUGUGCUCGAGAACGAUGGGUGUUUCUUUUGCUACGCCGACAGCGUUGAUGACGUGCUUCGACCCGAUUAGUGUUGCCCAACUGCUUGCAGUUGGUGUCUUGCUACCGGUUAGAUUCAUCGUUGCCAACGUCUAACCCUGCGUGCAGGGUGUCGGUGUCAAAGUCGGCCACCCUUCCGUCCCGUCUUGAAACACGGACCGAGGAGUGUAUCUAGUGCGCGAGUCAAGGGGUGUUAAACCCUACGGCGAAAUGAAAAUGAUAUCAUGGGAUUCCUCUUUGAGGACGCACCAUGGCCCUAUCCCAGUUGCUUGCAACGGGGUGGAGGAAGAGCGUACUGGAUGCGACCCGAAAGAUGGUGAACUAUACCUGAGCAGGACGAAGUCAGAGGAAACUCUGAUGGAAGUCCGUAUCGGUUCUGACGUGCAAAUCGAUCGAUAGACUUGGGUAUAGGGGCGAAAGACUAAUCGAACCAUCUAGUAGCUGGUUCCCUCCGAAGUUUCCCUCAGGAUAGCUGGAGCCCUGCGUGGUUAUAUCCGGUAAAGCGAAUGAUUAGAGGAUUUGGGGUCGAAACGACCUCAACCUAUUCUCAAACUUUCAAUGGGUAUGUUGUUGGUCUUUCCUAUGAAGACUGACACGAACGCGGGUUCCAAGUGGGCCAUUUUUGGUAAGCAGAACUGGCGCUGUGGGAUGAACCAAACGCGGUGCUAAGGUGCCCAACUUUUCGCUCAUGGGACCCCAUAAAAGGCGUUACUUGAUGAAGACAGCAGGACGGUGGCCAUGGAAGUCGGUACCCGCUAAGGAGUGUGUAACAACUCACCUGCCGAAUCAACUAGCCCUGAAAAUGGAUGGCGCUUAAGCGAAAGACCUAAACACCGCCGUUGCUGACUUGUGCGUUGAAAAUCGCCUGGUCGCAACGAGUAGGAGGGUCCUGGUGGUUGCGUCGAAGGCUUUGGGCGUGAGCUCAGCUGGAGCUUCCAUCAGUGCAGAUCUCGGUAGUAGUAGCAAAUAUUUAAGUUCGAUCCUUGAAGACUGAAGUGGGGAAGGGUUCCACGUGAACAGUAGUUGUAUGUGGGUAAGCCGGUCCUAAGAUACUGGCGAACGCCGUGUAUCAUCGUUGCGAGCAUUUUGUUAGCAACGAAUGUCAAAAGGGAAUGGGGUUAAUAUUCCCCAGCGUGGAUAUGGCGAUGGCGGUUCUUUGAACCGUCUGCGCGGUAACGCACUCGAAAUCGGCGACGCCGCUCAAUGACCGAGCUAGAGUUUUCUUCUCUAGUUAAGGAACGGACUCCCUGGAAUCGGUUCAUCCGGAGAUAGGGACGUUGUUUCCGAAAAGCACCACGAUUUUUGUGGUGUCUCGUGCUCAUUGAACGGCCCUUGAAAUGUCGAUGGAGGCUAUUAUGUCAUACCGCUCCGUACCGAUAACCGCAUCAGGUCUCCAAGGUGAACAGCCUCUAGUCGUUAGAAUAAUGUAGGUAAGGGAAGUCGGCAAACUUGAUCCGUAACUUCGGGAAAAGGAUUGGCUCCAGUGACUGGGUCGAUUGGCCUGCAGACUGAUGCUUGUAUUGUCUUGCCCGUGAACUACUGAAGCUUCGGCUGAAGUUGGACUAGUGGUAGGGUGAUCUUGUGGACGUUUGUAGGUGUAAGUUAGCCUCCGGGCGAAGCUUCCCGAUCGACCACUUAACGGUUGCACUGGAACUGGUACGGACUCGGGGAAUCCGACUGUCUAAUUAAAACAGAGGAGACAGAUGGUCCUUGCGGACUUUAACUGUCUCUGAUUUCUGCCCAGUGCUCUGAAUGUUAAAUCGUAGUAAUUCGGAUAAGCGCGGGUAAACGGCGGGAGUAACUAUGACUCUCUUAAGGUAGCCAAAUGCCUCGUCAUCUAAUUAGUGACGUGCAUGAAUGGAUUAACGAGAUUCCACUGUCCCUAACUACUAUCUAGCGAAACUCAGCCAGGGGAACGGGCCUGGCAAAUAUAGCGGGGAAAGAAGACCCUGUUGAGCUUGACUCUAGUUUGGCAUUGUGAAGAGUCAUGAGAGGUGUAGCAUAGGUGGGAGGUUUCGGCCGACAAUGAAAUACCACCACUUUCAUCGACUCUUCACUUAUUCGGUGAUAGGAGGAUGGGCUUUCGAGCCUUUCUUCUUAGCGUUAAUCACGCUGACUUGGUCAGCGUGAGACUCUGGCCGAAGACAGUGCCAGGCGGGGAGUUUGACUGGGGCGGUACAUCUGUCAAAUAAUAACGCAGGUGUCCUAAGGCUAGCUCAGAGAGGACGGAAACCUCUCGUAGAGCAAAAGGGCAAAAGCUCGCUUGAUCUUGACUCUCAGUAUGAGUAAAGACCGCGAAAGCGUGGCCUAUCGAUCCUUUUAAUCCUGAUAGUUUCAGGUAAGAGGUGUCAGAAAAGUUACCACAGGGAUAACUGGCUUGUGGCAGCCAAGCGUCCAUAGCGACGUUGCUUUUUGAUCCUUCGAUGUCGGCUCUUCCUAUCAUUGCGUAGCAGAAUACGCCAAGCGUUGGAUUGUUCACCCUCUAAUAGGGAACGUGAGCUGGGUUUAGACCGUCGUGAGACAGGUUAGUUUUACCCUACUGUAGUCAAAUUGUUGCAAUAGUAAUCCUGCUUAGUACGAGAGGAACAGCAGGUUCAAACAUUUGGUUCAUGGACUUAGCCGAACGGCUAAUGGUCCGAAGCUACCAUUUGCGGGAUUAUGAUUGAACGCCUCUAAAUCAGAAUCCCAACUAAUGGUUAGUUAUAAUAAUUGAACUCCUGGUGUCAGGAUGUUCGUAUAUCACGUGGUAACGCGUGAGACCCUAACCCUAUCAUUGAAAUGAGCUCGCAGGUGAAAACCUAGCGGUGUUCCAAAGUCAGAUUACUCUGGCCUGAUUUCAGGGUUGAAUUCACUAGUCUACGACUAGUAUACUGGUCAAUGAGUUGUAUCCAGUAGAGCAACCUUAUAUGUU
rnacentral:rRNA from 1 species